rnacentral:rRNA from 1 species
UGCCAGCCGCCGCGGUAACACGGGGGGCGCAAGCGUUAUUCGGAAUUAUUGGGCGUAAAGCGUCCGUAGGCGGUUUUUUAAGUCUGUGGUUAAAUCCCAGGGCUCAACCCUGGAAUCGUCAUAGAAACUAUUGAACUUGAGGUAUGAAGGGGCAGAUGGAAUUCCAGAAGUAGGGGUAAAAUCCGUAGAUCUCUGGAGGAACGCCGGAGGCGAAAGCGACUAUCUGGGCCAUAACUGACGCUGAUGUGCGAAAGCUAGGGGAGCAAACGGGAUUAGAUA